rnacentral:misc_RNA from 1 species
CUGACGACAAACAUGGCGCCGAGCCGUGCUCCCGACGUGUAUAAUCGCGCUCGGUGUUUAAUGUGUCCACUUGUGAUCGCGCUAGUUUCGCUCCUUCAUUCGAGUGCCGUGAGUGGGAGUGAUGAAUCUUUCCCCGUGGCCAAGUAUUUGGACUACAAUGCGACCACAACUUUGUUGCACGAACUUGCUAACAAGCAUCAUUCGCUAGCGUCUGUUUACAGCAUCGGCAAGAGUGUGAAGGGACGCGAGCUAUGGGUGCUGAAGAUCACCACCGAUGCUCACGUACGGAGCAUUGGCAAGCCUCUGUUCAGGUACACGGCCAAUAUCCACGGCAACGAGGCUUUGGGGCGCCAACUUCUCUUGUAUCUUGCGGAAUACAUGUUGGAAAACUAUGGCACCGACAGCCGCAUCACGCGGCUCGUCAACAACACAGAAUUGCAUUUCUGUCCAUCGCUUAACCCGGACGGAUACGCGAAUGCUAGCGAAGGUGACUGCGAGGGAGCCAGUCGAGACUCGGGUCGCUUUAACAGCCAUAUUGUGGACUUGAACGGUAACUUCCCAGGUAGCGAAACCGACCUGACAAAGAUGACAGUGGGCAGAGAGCCGGAGACCUUAGCUAUCAUGAAAUGGUCAGUUCUCAAUCCUUUCGUUCUUUCGGGAAGUCUGCACAGCGGACUGGUCGUUGCCGUGUACCCAUAUGACUUCCGCUCGCCCGAAGCGCCAAUGGACAGCCCCAACCUGACCCCCGAUGACGACGUGUUUCGACAUCUGGCGGGUACAUACGCGAGGACACACAGUGACAUGUUUCGAAGCCCUCAGUGCCAGGAGUAUUUUGACGGCGGCAUCACCAACGGUGCCGAAUGGAUUCCUGUGUCAGGGAGCAUGCAGGAUUUCAGCUACAUCUACACAAAUUGCUAUGAAGUCACCCUAGAGAUAUCCUGUUGCAAGUAUCCAAUGGCAAACACGCUUGUCAGCGAAUGGGAAAAAAACAAAAAUGCCCUCUUGAGCUACAUGGAACAGGUUCACAUGGGUGUGAAAGGAGUGGUAAAAGAAUUUGGCACAGGCAAGGCUGUUCCUAAAGCUACAGUCAUCGUGCAAGGCAUCAACCACAAUAUAACCACUACAGAAAGAGGAGAGUUCUGGAGGCUUCUGCUUCCUGGCCAGUAUGCUCUCCAUGUGUCCAGCCCAGGGUAUGAGAGUACUGUGAGGCAUAAUAUCACUGUGAUGACUGGAGCUGCGACAUGGGUAGAUGUUAUUCUCACACCGGUGCCAUCCACCACCAAACCGCCCAAACAGUAUGCUCCUCUCGAUACGGACUUUGUGUUUUCCACCAAACCCGAGUUCAAGCACCACAAUCAAGAGGAACUGGUUGCCAUCUUCAGAAAUGUUACUAAGAAAUGUCCCACCAUCACUCGACUCUUCAGCAUUGGCAAAUCGGUGGAGGACAGAGAUCUCUACUUCCUUGAGAUUAGUGACAAUCCUGGUCAUCACGAACCAGGUGAACCAGAGUUCAAGUACGUUGCGAAUAUUCAUGGCAAUGAGCCGGUUGGUCGUGAAUCUGUUCUGCUGUUGGCACAGCUCCUCUGUGAGCAGUAUGGCAAGUCUCGCCGCUUGACAACUCUGGUAAACAACACACGCAUCUUCCUAAUGGCCUCAAUGAACCCUGAUGGCUAUACAAGAUCCAACGUCGGCGACUACAACAGUCUAGUGGGCCGAUUCAAUGCUCACAAUGUUGACCUGAACCGCGACUUCCCUGACCAAUAUGAGCCUCACAAGGCACACAACCCACGAGAGCCCGAGACAAGGGCCAUGAUGAACUUCAUAAUGGCGCGGCCUAUAGUGCUGUCGGGCAGCUUGCAUGGAGGUGCUCUGGUCGCCAACUACCCUUACGAUGGCAACAGAGAGAGAGUGGAGCGCAUCUACAGUGCCACACCGGAUGACUCCCUCUUCCGGUACCUGGCUCUUGUCUAUGCCCGGGCUCAUCCAACCAUGAGUCUAGGAAAGCCUUGUUCAAAAGGACCCAAAGAUGAUGCAUUCAAGGAUGGAAUCACAAAUGGAGCAGCAUGGUACAAUGUAUAUGGUGGAAUGCAAGACUUCAACUAUCUGCACAGCAACAGUUAUGAGCUAACAAUUGAAAUGGGCUGCUAUAAGUACCCACCUGCAUCUGACUUGCCAAAAUAUUGGGAUGAACACAAGCAUGCACUUGUAAAAUACAUGGAGAAGGUUCACCAGGGCGUGAAGGGAUUUGUCAAGGAUCAAGAUGGGCUGCCAGUGCCCAAUGCCACAGUCCACGUUCUUGGCAUUCAUCAUGACGUGCGUUCAGCUGUGGAUGGAGACUUCUGGCGUCUUCUCAUGCCUGCGACCUACUCUGUCCGAGCUUACGUUGAUAGUUUUCCUCUGCCAGUACAACGGGUGACUGUUGUGGAAGGCAACGCAACGUGGGUAAAUUUCACCGUUGACCGCCGCUACGCCAAGUGGUCAAGGGAGCAUGACUUCCUUAUUGGUGAAAAUGGAGAACCCAAGUAUCUGGGUGCUGAUGAACUUACCAACCUGUUGAUGCAGCUGCGUCAAAACUACUCUGACAUUGUUGAGGUCAAGGACAGCUUUGGCCCACCUGGUGAAACUGCACUCCAGUUCCUGCGAAUCACGGUGCCGAGCAAAAAAAUGAAGCCAGAGGUCGUACUCAUUGGAGGCCUCAAUGGAGGACGCCCUGCAGGAAGGGAGAUGUUGAUUCGCCUGGCCAGGCACCUUGUCACAGGCUAUAAGCUAAGAUCCCAGCGCAUAGUUGACCUUCUGGAGAAAGUGGUGGUGCACAUCGUCCCCUCAGUGGACAAAGCAGGUUUCAGCCACUCUGAGGAGGGCAUAUGCGACUCUCAACUGUCGGAAGAGCUAAAUAUGGAGGACCGUUUUGGCAAUGAGUUCACUGGCCAAUUCCCCAUUGUGGAAGCCGUCAAAGAGGGCCUGAGCGUGUCACACUAUGUGGCAGGUCUUGUCCUCGACACAGGAGGUGUUGGUGUCAGAAUUGCGCUGAAUGAUACAAAUAGUGGCCUGCUGGACAACAUGACUAUGGAUGGCCUCAUAGCUGGCUUCCGCAAGUACGUGCCUCUGUCCAAGUGUGGAAAAGAGCUGAGACCUGUUCAUGACGGCUCUUUGCUCCAGUAUGCCUACAACAAGCAUGGUACUCUAAUGGCAUCUGUGCUUCUGGACUGCUGUGACUUCCCUGCCAGAAAGGAAAUUCCCAAGCUUUGGAUGCACACACUGCACCCUCUUCUUGAAUUCCUGGAAGCUGCAAAGACAAGCGUCCAUGGCAGUGUGACUGAUGAGUAUGGAACAACACUCACGAAGGCAUCAGUUGGCGUACAUACAAGCAAACGUCCUAUCGAAACGACCAGUGGUGCUUUCUGUCUUGCUGUACCUCCUGGAAAGGUGGUGCUCACAGCGUCUGCAAGUGAAUUUGAGAUGAGGGUGGAGCGGGUGACGGUGUUGUCGGGCGAGGGGACCAGCCUUGUGCUGGUACUUGAGCCAGAUACAUACGAGCGCAAGUACCACAGCUACGCUGAGGCCCUGCAGCUGCUCAGAUACAUCGCCCACAAGUAUCCCAACACCACCUACCUCUACAGCCUGGGCAGCAGUGCAGGCGGGCGGGACCUGCCUGCCCUGGUGCUGGGCGCUACCCCCCGGGUGCACCGGCCAGGUGUCCCCGAGAUCCGGCUGCAGGCUGGCCUGGCCGGGGGCUUCCAGCUGGCUGCCACCGAGAUGCUCCUCCACUUGGCCCACACACUGGCCACCCGCUACAAGCACAACAGCCUCAUCACGCAGAUUAUGGCUUCUGCUAGAAUUCAUGUUGCCCCAAUACUUGAUCCUGAUGGCGUCACCAACUCAUCUAUUGGAAAAUGUGAUGCAAAUGAAUCCACCCCUAGUGGCAGCAAUUUGUUCUAUAUGUUUGAUGGGCGUAGUUCACGUCCGGAGGUUCAAGCUGUGCAACAGUGGACACAACGAUACCACUUUGUCACUUCGCUCAACGUGUUGACUGGCGGCUUGGCACUAGCACUGCCCAAAAGUGCUGGUGCCAUCGACACGGCAGUGCUCAGAAAACUGGCCAAGACUUAUGCAUACCACAAUGAUGACAUGCUUAAUGGGGCCUUUGCCUGUGGGAAAAAGAGCUACAAUUCAUCUGAUGGAAUUUUGACCGAGUCAGCUGACCUAGGACACCUGAAUGGUUCUGUUAUGGACAUCAGCUACAGAGAGACUGGAACCUAUGAGACAGCAGCCUUCAUUUCCUGCUGUCCAGCACCCAACAUUAGCGAGUUCUCUGCUCUCUGGGUUCAGAACAAGCAGUCGAUACUCAACUACCUGCUCCAGGCUACGCAAGGGCUGGUAGGUUACGUGCGUACCAAGAGCCGCGAUCCCAUUUCUGGCGCCAACAUUAGCAUUGAAGGCCAGCCACUGCAUAGGCCAAGUACCAAGCUAGGCGAGUUCUGGGUUCCACUGGGAGAGGGAAGCUACCAGGUGGUGAUCAGUGCCCCCGACUUCUACACCAUGACCAAGAUUGUGGAAGUUUAUGCCGGUCGUAGCACAACGGUUGAGUUCCUCCUGCAAGAGAACAUUGUGAUUGCUGGCCUACCAAAACAUGUAUUUGUUGUUCUUACAGGUUCUCUGGUGUUGCUGCUGAUGGUGAGUGCCCUCUGUCUGUACACUGUGGUGAUGAGCCAGCGACAGCCUGAGAGAGCAGGCUUCAUGCCUGUGCAAAGCAAUGGUGGAACAUUGUUUGACGAUGAUGACGAUGAUGAUGGGAUAGGACCACAGAAGAGGCGCAAAGGUGCCAGCAACAGUGCCUCCGGUGGCAGCGUGCACAGCAAGUUGCUCAAGGCGGCAGAGUACCACGAUGACACUUCCUCCGAGGAUGAAAUCUACAACACCCGCAACUGGAAAAGUAGCGCAAAGUCCAUCUAAUCUGCACUCAGGGCAUUGAUGUUCGAAAAACCCCUUGUCACCACCCCUCUGUGCUGGUGGAGCUUCCAGUCUGCCAGCGUGCUCACCGAGGUGGCAGCAAGGAGCCAGCCAAACUAAAUGCCUGAAUGCCGCCUGCUCAGCUGCCGUAGGCAGAGACUUUCUCCGUGAUUUUGACAACCAGAUGCUUCCAGAGCUUUGCUGCAUUUUAAUCUUUACUUACUACCGAGAGGAAGGAAAUGGAAGCGGCCUGGUGUGCAAACUUGGAGCCUGCUUGCUCACACAAUGAGACAGGAAAUUGACCAGCGCAUGGUAAUGCUGAGCAAAAAUUUUGUGCAUGUACAGCUGCUUGCUUAAUAAGUGUUUAAGCCAUGAACUUACAAACUGGACAUGCAUCCCAGAGCUGAAAAGCUCUCUGCAUGCACCUCUCAAGUGUGGAGUGCAAAUUUUCAGCGCUGGUGACAUGCUCAGGCUGUGAGAAAAUUUGGAUCUCCCUUGGCUUUGCAUCAUUAAAGAAAAGUGAGCAGCUGUACAUAUGUCUGCAGGUAUGGUGGAGAUAGCUUCCACAUGUGGCAUUUGUCCUUUUGCUAAAUUAGUUAUGGAAGCAGACUCCAAGGAAAAAGGUUGCUUGGGCAAAAACAAGCAAAUAUAGUAGAGGUGCUUCUGGUUUCAUCCCAUCUACCACUGCAAACACACUAUAAGCACAGUGCAUGCAAGGGGUCAGGUGAAUGUGGUGCAUGGACACGAAACUGAGCACUGCCAGUACUUCAGCAGAGGUUAGUGACACGCAGAGAACUAGUGGCAAGCACUUAUGCAGCCAUCAUACCUUAAAUGAAUGGCAGUGGUAAGAGAAUUCUGUUGUGUACUGGUAACGAACAGCUGCAAAUUGAAUUGUGUAGGCUUAUGUUGAACAAACGAGUGUAUUAGAUUAGUUUCCAACAUUUGAAUGUACAGCUGUCAACACCUUGUACCAGUUGUUUGGGAAGUGUUGGCAUAUUUUAACACUUUUUUACAAUGGUGCAAUCACUUUUAUUUGUAACCUUGUUUUACACUCUUUCCUUUGUAUUUUUGGACCUGUGCUACUUUUUGAUGGUGGUUAGCAGCAACCCGACUUUAAUGCUAGCUGGUGAGGCCGUUGUGAUGAUACUAACUGGGGGAGCCACCUCUGUGGCACUGCUUCUUUCACAUCUAUAUGACUGUAGGAGGAUUCAUUGGGUGAUGUCUCAGAGCAGCCGCACUCCGUGCCACGUGAUAGAGCAUCUAUUUGAGAAACUUGUGCGACUAAAGCAAAAUUUCCAGUUAUUGCGUAUCCAGUGCAGUGUUUGACUGUGUACAUAGAAAGUUGUGCAUGUCUGCAAAUCAUAUGUGCAGUAAGACGGCCAAAAAGAAAAAAUGCAUUUUACAUUGUUUUAGUGAAUAGUCACAAUAUGUGCAGUGGCCUUAUUUCAAUGUACGACUACUGUGAUUGCACCCACUCCUAAGAAUGGUUCCUGCUAAGAACAUAUUUGUUGAGAUUUCCUUGUAAACAUUAUCAGCCAGACUUCUGUCUACUAAGUCAGCAGAAUGAGUUCUUUGGCUUUGUUGUGCUAGUUUUGUAGACCGUAAGCAUGUUUUUAUGUAGGCCAUCAUCUGCAGUGUAUAUCAUGAAAUAGUCAAACCACAAUAUAAUGAACUUCAAUAUAAUGAAAUUCUCGACAUAACAAAGUAUUUAACUUUCUAUAAGUUCUUGUCUGUAGAACACCAUGUAUUUAGAACCUCAAUAUAAUGAAGUGUGUUCACAUACAAUUUCAAUAUAUUGCGAUUUCACUGUCGCUGCGAAGGAAUAACAAAGAAUACCGAGACAAUAAAUAGAAGCCUGUGGGGACGCAAAUGGUUGAAUUACAUGUGACUGCUUGCAAACGCACAUCUCAAAUUGCAUGGCAGGCAACCAAGAGCGAUCACCGAAGCAUAGCAGUGUCAUGUUUCGUAUAAAGUCUAAAUGCUAUUAGAUCCUAUCGCACCCCACGCUGUAUGCAUUGAGCGCAAGUGAAAGUGUGCAAGGGUGAGGCGAGUAGGAUGGUGGUUUGAUGAGCGCUUUCUUUAUGCACCAGAAAUGUGAGGGGGGGGGGGGGGGGAAGCAGAGCGAGCUC